GCAGAAUGUCUGGAAUUGAAUUCACUUCUUGAUACACAUGCAGUUGGGGACUUGAUAAGUAGAAAGUCAUCACAAGAAUCAAUGCAGAGUAGAAAUGCCAAUACAAUAGAAGAACAAGAAAUUUCGAAAUAUCUAGAGGAUGUGUGCAUAUACAUGCGUUCUCUUAUUCCUGAGCAAGAAGAUGUAAAUCCAGAUGUACAGAAAAUUAUCCAUCUUCUACAGACUGAAUAUGAAAAACAGGGAGACAAUUCUAGGUUUUUAAUAUUUGUGAAGACAGCAGCUACUGCCAGGGCACUGGCUAAACAACUUGAAUGCGUAAAAAUCUCAAUUGUCAAUACUUCCCUGGGUCACAGGCUGGACCAGAGGACGGAGUUAUUACCAAACAUAAACAACAGGAAGUGUUAACUAACUUUAAAUCUGGUGUGCACAAAUGUAUUGUGGCAACUUUAGUAGCCAGCGAAGGAAUUGAUAUACCUGAAUGUAACACGAUAAUACGAUACCGAUUUACAGCAAAUAAAAUUACAAGCCAUCAUUUGAGAGGUAGAAUUAGAACCGCUGGUGGAAAGGAGAUAAUAAAAGGAUCCGAAAAACAAAAUCUACGUGAAACCAUUAAUGUAGAGAGGAUGGUGUUGAUGGAAAGGGCAGUAAAUGCUGUCCUAGCAAUGGGCGAGCAUGAAGUUAGAGAAAAGAUAAAUAGAAGUGAAAAACUUCUCUUCGAAUCUGAGGAAGUAACACGGAAGAAAGCGCUUGAAAAAAGUCAACAUAAAGUUGGUGAACUUUAAUUCUAUCUUUGGACGUAUUACACACAAGCCAAUAUAACACAUUGUAACUGAAGACAUAAAACUGACUGAUAAAGUGUUUAGUGAAUGUAGGCAUGAAUGGGGACAUAUAAACCUGAACAAUGACUGUGAAUUAGUUGUUGUGGCUCAGAAGUAUAUUAAAGUAUAUAAUGUGGCAAAACAAGGACCUAAAAAUAUUAAGACAUGGCAGGAUGUUCCAUAUAAGAUUGCAACCGUAGAUGACGAUGAUAUACUUGCUUUCAGAUCUAGUCAGCAUCCGACACCAGAAUGACAUCAAUCAAAUAGAAAGGCCAGUAACAGUUGUAAAAUUCAUAUACACUUUCAUACUUCAAAAAUGUUUGUAUUUGCUACAAACGUUUGGUAAGGAAUCUAGAUGUGUGUAGAAUGCAAUAAAUCGAAUAGAAACGUGCAUGCCAUUAUGAGCUGGUGACCAUAAGUCGAAAUUGAACAUUUCACUAGUUGUUAGAUUUUCUCUCCUGGACGAUGAUGAUCCGUUGGAACUUUCUUAUCGAAUGUACAUUACCAUGUUUCUCAGUUGAUUAGAUCUGUGCGUUUUCCAUGACGUCCCUGAAAUACACAUAACACACUUACUGAUUACCCCUUACACACACACAUACACACACACAGACAGAAAUAAUUCUAAAUGUUGUUUCUGCAUUAAUUUCUUGUUCAAGUUUAGCCUGAUCAAGUUGGAUUGGAAGUACAGCCACCAAUAUCAUAGAGUAGGACGGCAUGAUUUUAAAUCAUCCAGUCUAGUACUUUGAGCUUGUGGCUCUUAGGAACUAUAUUAUAGUGUUGCUUGUAUUUGUGUAAUGCUAUCUUUAAAUAUGAAUAAAUUGGAGAUACAUGUAUACAACAUUUACAUUUAUCUCCAAUUUAUUCAUAUUUGUUAACAAUUUGUCUACAUGCAAUACAUGCUAUAUGUUGCAAUUAUAAUGUAAUAUACUAGAAAGCACUUUCACAUAGUUCUGUUUGUACUUCGCAUAUGUUGACUCUGACUCGAGAUUGGAACAAACUUCUAAGUAAAAAUGUUACAGUAAAGGUAUGAUUGAGAGCUAGAAACUAGAAUAAUGAGCCAUAAUAGUGCUACACAUCGUUCUUGAGCACUAUUACCAUGAGCUAGCAUAUGAGAAGUACUAUCAUCAUGUAUCAAUAUCGGGUUAUUGUGUUAUCGUUCUCAAUUUGAAGGUAAUAUAUAUAAAGUUGAAACAAGUCAGUAUGCUAUACUACCAUAACCACUAAAGAUUGUUUGUGUAUAUUUUUUGUGAUAGUGGUCAAAUUGAAGAUGAGAAGCACUUUCUGUUUAAUUAUUGGUUUUUCUCUGAUAUCAGAUAUGAAUUAUAUGCCAAAGCCUGUCUUUUAAAUGUUGAUUUUGAUUAUUUAUGCGAUAUUGAAAAACUCCAUUACCUUAUGUGUAAUGAGAAUAUGGUUCUUCUUGUAGCUAUAAAAAUAAGAGAUAUGGUAGGACUGCCAAUGACACAACUCUUCAAGAAAGACCAAAUGACACAGAAAUUGUCAAUUAUAGGUCACCGUACGGCUUUCAACAAGGGUAAACCCAUACCGUAUUGUCAGCUAUAAAAGACCCCGAAAUGCAAAAUGUAAAACAAUUCAAACUAGAAAACUAACGACCUGAUUAUGUACAAAAUAAUGGACUAGAGCUAAUUCACUGUCUUCUAUGUUUUACCGACGAAAACAUGACGUAAUCAGGAAAUUAUAUAUGUUUUUUUUUUUUUAUUUACGAAAUACUUUAUACAUGUAAAAAAAUAAUAUUUUUAUGUAUGUAUUACAUUUCUGUUUUAAUGAUAGUGUCUCAUUAGUCGUUUUCGGCCGACAUACUUUUUUCUAAAUGCUAGGUUCAUAGGACUUUGUGUAUAUAGAUAGAUACUGUAAUGGCUUUAAUAGCAAUUAUCUAAAUAACAUGUGAUAAUUAUUUAUAUAUGGCACGUGUUAAUGUUAAUUUUAUGUCAGCAGUUUCUAAAUCAAGCAACUGAUACAAAUGACAAUAAAGAAAUCUUUAAAAUAAAGUAAAGAAAGUUAAAAAUUUAGAAAAAAACCUAGGCAAAUGAAGCAUUGUUGCUGUUGUAUCUAAAAUUUUGAUGUACAAAUCUUUCAAACUUAAUUAUAAAUUUUCAGUUAGUUAAGCCAGUGAUAUAGGCAUAUCUACUUUUGAAAUAAAGGAAUACUUUUA